rnacentral:rRNA from 1 species
GCUCCUCGGGUGACGAGUGGCGGACGGGUGAGUAAUGUCUGGGGAUCUGCCCGAUAGAGGGGGAUAACCACUGGAAACGGUGGCUAAUACCGCAUAACGUCGCAAGACCAAAGAGGGGGACCUUCGGGCCUCUCACUAUCGGAUGAACCCAGAUGGGAUUAGCUAGUAGGCGGGGUAACGGCCCACCUAGGCGACGAUCCCUAGCUGGUCUGAGAGGAUGACCAGCCACACUGGAACUGAGACACGGUCCAGACUCCUACGGGAGGCAGCAGUGGGGAAUAUUGCACAAUGGGCGCAAGCCUGAUGCAGCCAUGCCGCGUGUAUGAAGAAGGCCUUCGGGUUGUAAAGUACUUUCAGCGGGGAGGAAGGCAAUGAGGUUAAUAACCUUAUUGAUUGACGUUACCCGCAGAAGAAGCACCGGCUAACUCCGUGCCAGCAGCCGCGGUAAUACGGAGGGUGCAAGCGUUAAUCGGAAUUACUGGGCGUAAAGCGCACGCAGGCGGUCUGUUAAGUCAGAUGUGAAAUCCCCGGGCUUAACCUGGGAACUGCAUUUGAAACUGGCAGGCUUGAGUCUCGUAGAGGGGGGUAGAAUUCCAGGUGUAGCGGUGAAAUGCGUAGAGAUCUGGAGGAAUACCGGUGGCGAAGGCGGCCCCCUGGACGAAGACUGACG